rnacentral:rRNA from 1 species
GCGGGCUUUGAUUAUAUCCGGCGAGACGAAGGACGAGGACUGUCGCUGGCCUUUCAUCGAGGCAUGUGCACGCUCUCUUCUGGACUUUCGCCGUAUGGGCGCGGGGCGACCCGCGUCUUCAUAUACCUCUUCGUGUAGAAAGUCUUUGAAUGUUUUUACAAUCAUCGAGUCGUGACUUCUAGGAGACGCGAUUCUUUGAGACAAAAGUUAUCACAACUUUCAGCAAUGGAUCUCUUGGCUCUCGCAUCGAUGAAGAACGCAGCGAAUCGCGAUAUGUAAUGUGAAUUGCAGAUCUACAGUGAAUCAUCGAAUCUUUGAACGCACCUUGCGCUCCUCGGUGUUCCGAGGAGCAUGCCUGUUUGAGCGUCAGUAAAUUCUCAACCCCUCUCGAUUUGCUUCGAGUGGGGCUUGGAUGGUGGGGGCUGCCGGAGACCUGGAAUUCAUUCCGGGACUCGGGCUCCUCUGAAAUGCAUCGGCUUGCGGUCGACUUUCGACUUUGCGCGACAAAGCUUUCGGCGUGAUAAUGAUCGCCGUUCGCUGAAGCGCAUGAAUGAAUGGUCCCGUGCCUCUAAUCAGUCGACGCCUUCUGGGCGUCUUCCUUAUAGACGUUUGACCUCAAAUCAGGUAGGACUACCCGCUGAACUUAAGCAUAUCAUAAGCCGGGAGGAAA